GAAAGUGUUGGCCCGAGACCCCCGCCUCCCAUCCUGAUGGGAACUGCACACGUGCUUGAACAGGGAGAGGACACUGAAUAUGUACAGAUUAAAAACUUAGGGGUCGAUAUUCUGGAAGCCAAGUGGUUUCUCCAGAUGUCUGCUGGCUGUGUUGGAAUCUCUGGAACGCUGGCUAAAUGCAGAUUCCUGGGCCCUCUUGCUCUGACAUCCUGAUACGUGGA
rnacentral:lncRNA from 10 species